rnacentral:rRNA from 1 species
CCUACGGGGGGCUGCAGUGGGGAAUAUUGGACAAUGGGGGGAACCCUGAUCCAGCCAUGCCGCGUGUGUGAAGAAGGCCCUCGGGUUGUAAAGCACUUUCAGUGAGGAAGAACGCCUGGUGGUUAAUACCCAUCAGGAAAGACAUCACUCACAGAAGAAGCACCGGCUAACUCCGUGCCAGCAGCCGCGGUAAUACGGAGGGGGCGAGCGUUAAUCGGAAUUACUGGGCGUAAAGCGCGCGUAGGUGGCUUGAUAAGCCGGUUGUGAAAGCCCCGGGCUCAACCUGGGAACGGCAUCCGGAACUGUCAAGCUAGAGUGCAGGAGAGGAAGGUAGAAUUCCCGGUGUAGCGGUGAAAUGCGUAGAGAUCGGGAGGAAUACCAGUGGCGAAGGCGGCCUUCUGGACUGACACUGACACUGAGGUGCGAAAGCGUGGGUAGCAAACAGGAUUAGAUACCCCGGUAGUC